rnacentral:misc_RNA from 1 species
GUAGGUGAACCUGCGGAAGGAUCAUUACCGAUUUUAGCGAACCUGGCCUUUGGUCAUGGUCUCGCGAAAACUUGUAUUUAAAACCACACUCUUAUAAAACGAAAUAUUUUGUAUAUAUAAUAAAAUAAGAUCACUUUCAACAACGGAUCUCUUGGUUCUC